AGGGUGUAAACGCUGCAGACUUGGUGUUGGAGGCCCUUUGGGGGCAUUCAGUGCCGGAGAGAAGUUGUUAAGUCUGCUACUUGGGGAGUACGUCCGCAAGGAUGAAACUUAAAGGAAUUGGCGGGGGAGCGCCGCAACGGGAGGAGCGUGCGGUUUAAUUGGAUUCAACACCGUAAAACUCACCAGGGAAGACUGUUACAUGAAGGCCGAGAUGAAGACUCUGCUAGAUUUUCAGAGAGGAGGUGCAUGGCGUCAGUGACU
rnacentral:rRNA from 1 species